GAAAGCCUGUUAAAAUUUAUUAACAUCUCCUGAAUGCAACUCAGAUACCUUAAUUAAGCUAAGACUUC
rnacentral:tRNA from 1 species